CCAAUCAGAUGCACAUAAACGUAAACAGAGAAGGAGGUCUAGUACGCACAUCAGGUUUCAGAGGCCUAAUGGGGUAUGCUGGAGUGAUGGGUCGGAUGGGCCAGACAGGGUACAGAGGACCGAUCGGACCACCUGGCAUGCCUGCUAUUAUAGUCUGGUACACAUCAGAAGAAAAAUGGCAAACAUUCAAGGUGCAUACCAAUAUUUUUGCUCAUUUUAGAUUUAUAUUUUGCUACCAUUUAUUCUGAAAACAUACAACUUAAGUAGCUGAUUCUGUGGAUAGUUGAAAUUCAAAUGUUGCGUACAUGCUUGAAGUCCUCGAAAACACUGUCUGGUUCUUAUUAUACUUUUCAUUUUGCUUCCAGAAAAAUAAAUUCUACAAAAAACUAGUUGCACCGUGGCUGGUGGGUUAAUGAGAGCUGUAUGUGAACUGCAUCAGUACACUGCAGAUUCAAAUAUUUUCCCCUCCUUUUCUUUAAAGAGUGAAGGGAUAACCAGGACCUCUGAGACUACAUGGACAGCCGGGACCACCCUUAAGUAUACAUAUAUUCUUUGACACAUCAUCUCCAUUUCUUUGUCCAUGUAAUUUCCACAAACUGUUGGUGCCAGUGACAAUGGAACCAAAUUCCUUAUGUGUGUGUGUGUGUGUGUNNNNNNNNNNNNNNNNNNNNNNNNNNNNNNNNNNUAAACAUUCUAUGAUAUAAUUAUAUUUUUACAGUUUGUUUAUCUAUUUUAAGGGCCCUCCUGGAGUUCCAGGCAAACAGAGGAGGAAAGGAGAGCGAGGGAAACUCAUAGGGAAGAAUAGGACCGGUUGGAAUGCCAGGGUCACCUGGGAGACCAGAACCAGAGGGCACAGCUGGGAAGGAUGGGGAGACGGGCCCUCCAGGACAACCUGGGGAGGAUGGCCCAAAAGGUUAUGUGGGAGAGAAGGGCAGGAGCUGGGUGAGUGGGGUCCUCCAGGGCUGCCGGGUAAACAGGGAUUUGGAGGCGGAGGAGGGCAGUCUGGUGUACAGGGAGAGAUUGGCCCUAUUAGACCUGCUGGUUUACCAGGGCCAACGGGCUAUGAUGGGUCUGUUGGAGAGGGAAAAGAUGGACCUAAGGGGGAGAUGGGAAAAUCAGGAGAACCAGGACCUGAAGGAGAGCCCGGGUAGCCCCGGAGUCCCUGGAAGAGCUGGAUUUAAAGGUCAAAAGGGACUGCUGGGUGUUUCAGGGAGCAGAGGACAGGACGGCACUCACGGUGCAACUGGAUCGAUUGGACCACCUGGAUCAGAUGGAGAUAGAUGA
ensembl:lncRNA